rnacentral:rRNA from 1 species
GACGAACGCUGGCGGCGUGCUUAACACAUGCAAGUCGAACGAAGUGGCGAACGGGUGAGUAACGCGUAAUCAACCUGCUCUUCAGAGGGGGACAACAGUUGGAAACGACUGCUAAUACCGCAUACUGAAGGAGGGGUUGGCGUCUGACUAGCUAGUUGGAGGGGUAACGGCUCACCAAGGCGAUGAUCAGUAGCCGGUCUGAGAGGAGGGACUGCCACAUUGGGAAUGGGACACGGCCCAGACUCCUAAGGGAGGCAGCAGUGGGGAAUCAUCCGAAAUGGACGAAAGUCUGACGGAGCAACGCCGCGUGAGUGAUGGCGGCCUUCGGGUUGUAAAGCUCUGUUAAUCGGGACGCGUUACCGGAAUAGAAAGCCACGGCUAACUACGUGCCAGCAGCCGCGGUAAUAC